UGGGGAAUUUUGGACGAAUUGGGCGAAAGCCUGAAUCCAGCAAUGCCGCGUGUGUGAAGAAGGCCUUCGGGUUGUAAAGCACUUUUGUCCGGAAAGAAAUCCUUGGCUCUAAUACAGUCGGGGGAUGACGGUACCGGAAGAAUAAGCACCGGCUAACUACGUGCCAGCAGCCGCGGUAAUACGUAGGGUGCAAGCGUUAAUCGGAAUUACUGGGCGUAAAGCGUGCGCAGGCGGUUUGCUAAGACCGAUGUGAAAUCCCCGGGCUCAACCUGGGAACUGCAUUGGUGACUGGCAGGCUAGAGUAUGGCAGAGGGGGGUAGAAUUCCACGUGUAGCAGUGAAAUGCGUAGAGAUGUGGAGGAAUACCGAUGGCGAAGGCAGCCCCCUGGCAAGUACUGACGCUCAUGCACGAAAGCGUGGGGAGCAAACGGA
rnacentral:rRNA from 1 species